rnacentral:rRNA from 1 species
GCCAGACUCCUACGGGAGGCAGCAGUGGGGAAUAUUGCACAAUGGGGGGAACCCUGAUGCAGCGACGCCGCGUGGGUGAAGGAGCACCUCGGUGCGUAAAGCCCUAUCGGCAGGGAAGAAACAGACGGUACCUGACUAAGAAGCCCCGGCUAACUACGUGCCAGCAGCCGCGGUAAUACGUAGGUGGCAAGCGUUAUCCGGAUUUAUUGGGUGUAAAGGGCGUGUAGGCGGGAAUGCAAGUCAGAUGUGAAAACUAUGGGCUCAACCCAUAGCCUGCAUUUGAAACUGUACUUCUUGAGUGCUGGAGAGGCAAUCGGAAUUCCGUGUGUAGCGGUGAAAUGCGUAGAUAUCAGGAGGAACACCGGUGGCGAAGGCGGCCUGCUGGACUGCAACUGACGUUGAGGCCCGAAAGCGUGGGGAGCAAACAGGAUUAGAUACCCGCGUA